UUCAAUUCAAUCCCUCAAAAGAACAUUCCGGUCACGGUUAUGCCUCUUUAACCUCAUCGAACUGUCAACCAUUGAAUUAGGGUUUUUGAAUUGUUUAUCAUCAAUUGUUCAACGAUGAACGACGUACAAAGGACGUCCACAAUCGAAUAACUGCUGUCGUUUUGCUCAUACCCACAUCUUCGAUUUAUUCCAUUUGAUUCGUGUAACCGGGUUGCGUAUUCGUAAGUACAAUAAUGUGCUCGUGGCAUACAGUGAUACAACACAAGUGCCUUCAACAACUACCGAUGUACAUCAAAUCGAGCCUUGUGUUUUUGCAGGAGAUUCUGAAAAAUCACUAAUCGAGCCAUUAUUUUAUUUGUGGGUUUCCCUGAUUAUGCUAAAUCAGACUGGAGGUCGGUUCACCAUUUGGGAUUGAUGCAAUGAAUGAUGGAAUAAUUGGUCUGGACUAUCAUGCUCUGUAGCUUUGGCAAAAAACCGGAUGGGUCAGAACGGGUAAAUGCAUAAACAAGAACUGGCAAAAAACCGGAUGGGUCAGAACGGGUUAAUGCAUAAACAAGAACCAAAAGAUGAAUCUGUUAGAGUGCAACUUCUUCUGUUGAGAGCCACCGACAAAACUUAGAAGCUAUGAUGCGGAGUAUAAAAAAACUACUUGUUGAAGAUAGAGAUGAGUAGAUAGUUUUCUUUUCUCUUUAUUAUUGUAGUUGUCACUUUGUGUUGAAUAUAUUGUUAUUUGAUUUUGGACAAACAUGUACACCAUUUCACUAUUAAUGAUACCGAGUUUGGGCGUAACUACGACU
rnacentral:lncRNA from 1 species